UACAGAGGUCCCGAGCGUUGUUCGGAUUCACUGGGCGUAAAGGGUGCGUAGGUGGCGAGGUAAGUCGGAUGUGAAAGCCCCGGGCUCAACCUGGGAAUGGCAAUGGAAACUGGCGGGCUAGAGUGUGGCAGAGGGGGGUGGAAUUCCGCGUGUAGCAGUGAAAUGCGUAGAGAUGCGGAGGAACACCGAUGGCGAAGGCAGCCCCCUGGGCUAGCACUGACGCUCAGGCACGAAAGCGUGGGGAGCAAACAGG
rnacentral:rRNA from 1 species